GAUGAACGCUGGCGGCGUGCCUAAUACAUGCAAGUCGAGCGAACAGACGAGGAGCUUGCUCCUCUGACGUUAGCGGCGGACGGGUGAGUAACACGUGGAUAACCUACCUAUAAGACUGGGAUAACUUCGGGAAACCGGAGCUAAUACCGGAUAAUAUAUUGACCGCCUGGUUCAAUAGUGAAAGACGGUUUUGCUGUCACUUAUAGAUGGAUCCGCGCCGCAUUAGCUAGUUGGUAAGGUAACGGCUUACCAAGGCAACGAUGCGUAGCCGACCUGAGAGGGUGAUCGGCCACACUGGAACUGAGACACGGUCCAGACUCCUACGGGAGGCAGCAGUAGGGAAUCUUCCGCAAUGGGCGAAAGCCUGACGGAGCAACGCCGCGUGAGUGAUGAAGGUCUUCGGAUCGUAAAACUCUGUUAUUAGGGAAGAACAAAUGUGUAAGUAACUAUGCACGUCUUGACGGUACCUAAUCAGAAAGCCACGGCUAACUACGUG
rnacentral:rRNA from 1 species